UGAUGCAGCAACGCCGCGUGAGGGACGAAGGCCUUCGGGUUGUAAACCUCUUUUAGCAGGGAAGAAGCGAAAGUGACGGUACCUGCAGAAAAAGCACCGGCUAACUACGUGCCAGCAGCCGCGGUAAUACGUAGGGUGCAAGCGUUGUCCGGAAUUAUUGGGCGUAAAGAGCUCGUAGGCGGUUUGUCGCGUCUGCUGUGAAAAUCCGAGGCUCAACCUCGGACCUGCAGUGGGUACGGGCAAACUAGAGUGCGGUAGGGGAGAUUGGAAUUCCUGGUGUAGCGGUGGAAUGCGCAGAUAUCAGGAGGAACACCAAUGGCGAAGGCAGAUCUCUGGGCCGUAACUGACGCUGAGGAGCGAAAGCGUGGGGAGCGAACAGGAUUAGAUACCCUGGUAGUCCACGCCGUAAACGGUGGGAACUAGAUGUGGGGUCCGUUCCACGGAUUCCGUGUCGCAGCUAACGCAUUAAGUUCCCCGCCUGGGGAGUACGGCCGCAAGGCUAAAACUCAAAGGAAUUGACGGGGGCCCGCACAAGCGGCGGAGCAUGCGGAUUAAUUCGAUGCAACGCGAAGAACCUUACCAAGGCUUGACAUAUAGAGG
rnacentral:rRNA from 1 species